UACGGAGGGUGCGAGCGUUGUCCGGAAUCACUGGGCGUAAAGCGUGCGCAGGCGGUUUGCUAAGACAGGUGUGAAAUCCCCGGGCUUAACCUGGGAACUGCGCUUGUAACUGGCAAGCUUGAGUGUGGCAGAGGGGGGUGGAAUUCCACGUGUAGCAGUGAAAUGCGUAGAGAUGUGGAGGAACACCGAUGGCGAAGGCAGCCCCCUGGGCUAACACUGACGCUCAUGCACGAAAGCGUGGGGAGCAAACAGG
rnacentral:rRNA from 1 species